AUACAGAGGGUGCAAGCGUUAAUCGGAAUUACUGGGCGUAAAGCGCGCGUAGGCGGUUCGAUAAGUCGGGUGUGAAAGCCCCGGGCUCAACCUGGGAAUGCCAUUCGAUACUGUCGAGCUAGAGUAUGGUAGAGGAAAGCGGAAUUCCACAUGUAGCGGUGAAAUGCGUAGAUAUGUGGAGGAACAUCAGUGGCGAAGGCGGCUUUCUGGACUAAUACUGACGCUGAGGUGCGAAAGCGUGGGGAGC
rnacentral:rRNA from 1 species